rnacentral:tRNA from 1 species
GGAGGCCGGGAAGGGCCGGUUCGGUGGCGUUCUUGAGCAGCGCCGGCCCGACCAGCGGUACGGCUCCGCCGGCCGUCC